AUGAUCAACAUUAUAUUUAGUAUUUAGAUUUUUUUUAAAUUACAUUUUGAUUAAUUCACGUUUUAACUGUUGUAGAAAUUUAAAUUAAUUACACCAUACAAGUUGAUUUUUAAAGUCGUAUAGAUACUUUAAAAUAAUUCCUUUAAUACCUUCGAAGUUCUUCAAUUCACCGAAUUUUCUCCAAAUUCAGACACUAGCGGCAAAAAAAGUUUCAUUUCAAGUUCAAUCAUUCUUCGCCAACACUUGCUCCGUUGUCGAUAGACACAAAAAGCUGGAGUAACUCAGCGGGACAG